AUAUAAACGAGUUGUUUGCUACACGUCGACAUUUAUUACGGCGAGCUGGAAAAAUGUUUAUCUGUAAAUACGUAGUAUUGUUCUUGGUGGUCAUAGUUUGCACAGUAGAGUGGUCAGGAGUUUAUGGGUAACAAGCGUGCGCUGACAGCGGAUAUUCUAAAAAAGAGUGUGAGGGUUUGUACUAUUUAGAUUCAGCCAUUUUUUGUGCAAUGUUCCAAUGCACAAAAAAUGGGCUAAUGUAUAUUCCAAAUAAGGAGCAAUGUGAUAAGGAUGGCCGAUCAAAAGAUAUUUGCAUGCAGAAAUAUGCCAUUUAUAAAGAAGAAUACUGUGACCUAUACCUAUGUACCGCAGACGGAAAACCUGCUUUGAGUUAAAGCUCUUGAAGUUAGAGAAGAUUGCAGAAUGAUACUUCAAUCAUUGAAUAGACAAAGUUUACCCAAUAUGAUUUUUAUCGAAGUGAUGUUUAAUUAAAUAUACUUAUGUAAGGAAAGGUUUUUGACAAACAA